rnacentral:misc_RNA from 1 species
AGGAGCCGUAUGCGGUAGUUCCGCACGUACGGAUCUGUGCGGGGGGCUGCGAAUCUUCUGCUUGAGUGUUUCGGUGUUCAUGGUCAGUCCUGAUUGGGGUAAGGGACUGCACCACUUCACCGCAGC